rnacentral:rRNA from 1 species
UGACAGAAUAACAAUACAGGGCUAAUGUCUUGUAAUUGGAAUGAUGGUGACCCAAACCCUCACCAGAGUAGCAAUUGGAGGGCAAGUCUGGUGCCAGCAGCCGCGGUAAUUCCAGCUCCAAUAGCGUAUAUUAAACUUGUUGCAGUUAAAAAGCUCGUAGUUGAAUUUUAGCGUGUUCGAGUUUGCCAUUCGUUUGGCUUUUUCGAGUUCGCUUUUGGGUUUUCCCUUUUUACUUUGAGAAAAUUAGAGUGUUUCAAGCAGACUUUUGUCUUGAAUACUUCAGCAUGGAAUAAUAGAGUAGGACUUUGGUUCUAUUUUGUUGGUUAUUGAACCUUAGUAAUGGUUAAUAGGAACGGUUGGGGGCAUUCGUAUUUAAA